rnacentral:rRNA from 1 species
CCGCAUAAGCGCACAGAGCUGCAUGGCUCGGUGUGAAAAACUCCGGUGGUAUGGGAUGGGCCCGCGUCUGAUUAGGCAGUUGGCGGGGUAACGGCCCACCAAACCGACGAUCAGUAGCCGGCCUGAGAGGGCGACCGGCCACAUUGGGACUGAGACACGGCCCAAACUCCUACGGGAGGCAGCAGUGGGGAAUAUUGCACAAUGGGGGAAACCCUGAUGCAGCGACGCCGCGUGAGCGAAGAAGUAUUUCGGUAUGUAAAGCUCUAUCAGCAGGGAAGAUAAUGACGGUACCUGACUAAGAAGCCCCGGCUAACUACGUGCCAGCAGCCGCGGUAAUACGUAGGGGGCAAGCGUUAUCCGGAUUUACUGGGUGUAAAGGGAGCGUAGACGGCAAGGCAAGUCUGAUGUGAAAACCCAGGGCUUAACCCUGGGACUGCAUUGGAAACUGUCUGGCUCGAGUGCCGGAGAGGUAAGCGGAAUUCCUAGUGUAGCGGUGAAAUGCGUAGAUAUUAGGAAGAACACCAGUGGCGAAGGCGGCUUACUGGACGGUAACUGACGUUGAGGCUCGAAAGCGUGGGGAGCAAACAGGAUUAGAUACCCUGGUAGUCCACGCCGU